UACGUAGGGUGCAAGCGUUAAUCGGAAUUACUGGGCGUAAAGCGUGCGCAGGCGGUUUUGUAAGUCAGAUGUGAAAUCCCCGGGCUUAACCUGGGAACUGCGUUUGAAACUACAAGGCUAGAGUGUGGCAGAGGGGGGUGGAAUUCCACGUGUAGCAGUGAAAUGCGUAGAGAUGUGGAGGAACACCGAUGGCGAAGGCAGCCCCCUGGGUUAACACUGACGCUCAGGCACGAAGGCAUGGGUAUCGAAUGGG
rnacentral:rRNA from 1 species